rnacentral:rRNA from 1 species
GCUACGGGAGGCAGCAGUGGGGAAUAUUGCGCAAUGGGCGAAAGCCUGACGCAGCGACGCCGCGUGAGGGAUGAAGGUCUUCGGAUCGUAAACCUCUGUCAGCAGGGAAGAACGGGCACUGUGCUAAUCAGCAGUGAAUUGACGGUACCUGCAAAGGAAGCACCGGCUAACUCCGUGCCAGCAGCCGCGGUAAUACGGAGGGUGCGAUCGUUAAUCGGAAUUACUGGGCGUAAAGCGCGCGUAGGCGGUAUGUCAAGUCAAGGGUGAAAUCCCCGCGCUCAACGUGGGAACUGCCUGUGAAACUGGCAACCUGGGGUGUGUGAGAGGAUAGUGGAAUGCCAGGUGUAGGAGUGAAAGCCGUAGAUAUCUGGAGGAACAUCAGUGGCGAAGGCGACUAUCUGGCACAUAACUGACGCUGAGGAGCGAAAGCGUGGGUAGCAAACAGGAUUAGAUACCCGGGUAGUC